rnacentral:rRNA from 1 species
GACGAACGCUGGCGGCGUGCUUAACACAUGCAAGUCGAACGGAAAGGCCCUGCUUUUGUGGGGUGCUCGAGUAGCGAACGGAUGAGUAACACGUGAGUAACCUGCCCUUGACUUUGGGAUAACUUCAGGAAACUGGGGCUAAUACCGGAUAGGAGCUCCUGCUGCAUGGUGGGGGUUGGAAAGUUUCGGCGGUUGGGGAUGGACUCGCGGCUUAUCAGCUUGUUGGUGGGGUAGUGGCUUACCAAGGCUUUGACGGGUAGCCGGCCUGAGAGGGUGACCGGCCACAUUGGGACUGAGAUACGGCCCAGACUCCUACGGGAGGCAGCAGUGGGGAAUAUUGCACAAUGGGCGGAAGCCUGAUGCAGCAACGCCGCGUGCGGGAUGACGGCCUUCGGGUUGUAAACCGCUUUCGCCUGUGACGAAGCGUGAGUGACGGUAAUGGGUAAAGAAGCACCGGCUAACUACGUG